ACCCUUAUCCUUUGUUGCCAGCGAUUAGGUCGGGAACUCAAAGGAGACUGCCAGUGAUAAACUGGAGGAAGGUGGGGAUGACGUCAAGUCAUCAUGGCCCUUACGACCAGGGCUACACACGUGCUACAAUGGCGCAUACAAAGAGAAGCGACCUCGCGAGAGCAAGCGGACCUCAUAAAGUGCGUCGUAGUCCGGAUUGGAGUCUGCAACUCGACUCCAUGAAGUCGGAAUCGCUAGUAAUCGUGGAUCAGAAUGCCACGGUGAAUACGUUCCCGGGCCUUGUACACACCGCCCGUCACACCAUGGGAGUGGGUUGCAAAAGAAGUAGGUAGCUUAACCUUCGGGAGGGCGCUUACCACUUUGUGAUUCAUGACUGGGGUGAAGUCGUAACAAGGUAACCGUAGGGGAACCUGCGGUUGGAUCACCUCCUUACCUUAAAGAAGC
rnacentral:rRNA from 2 species